AUUUAAUUGAUAAGUCCUAAAUAGGACGAAACUCGCGUCCUGAAU
rfam:Schistosoma haematobium scaffold352_120, whole genome shotgun sequence.